AUUGUUGCAGAGGUACAUGAUAGGCAUUCUUCAAAUUCAUGCUUGUCAUACUCCAGGAAAACAUGGAAGCUGCAGAAGUCUGGAAAAUAGAAAAAAAGGUCCAGGUCAAUGUCAUAGAAGCAAGGCCUUGUAGGCAAUCCUGGCAUUGUGCUCAUCUAGGGGAACAAUGAACUAGAAGUUACGGUCCUGCAACUGUAAGCUGAUAACCACACUGUGCAUAUAUACCCAUGAUGAAGUGAAAGACCAUAUUGUUCUUCGUGGGCUCAUAAUUUCACAUGUAUUGAAAUGAAAAGAAUCAAGCCAUCUGUUACUCCAAUCCCUUUUGCUAAAUCAGGUUCAGAAACCUUAAACAGAUUCACUUAUGCCUCAGAUUGCUUACAAAU